GGCCAGUGUGGCCUAGUGAUUAGAGUCCUAGAUUAGAACCUUGGAGACUAGGGUUUAAAUCCCUACUUGGCCC